rnacentral:piRNA from 1 species
UGUGAACUUAGCUUUGCUCAU